rnacentral:misc_RNA from 1 species
GGGCCAAACACGUGGACCAGUAAGUGAUCUGGAGACGACUUUCCACCAAAGCAGAUAAGCGGUAACAGCUGAUAGGAUGAUAAAAGCGGUGGAGAUGUCCAUGGAAGUAGCAGAAACGAAACCCUAAAAGGAAAAAUAAAAAUAAUAAUAAAUAAUGCUUGGUGGGUUGUAACUUUCAACCUCGUAAAAAUGCAGAAACUGAGAAGCUAAACAUGAACGGUGGAGGAGAAGAAAGAAAACCCAGAUGAGAGUGAUGAUGAGAAGAAGAUCAAUGGAGGAAGAGAGAAACCCAGAAAAGGUUAUUGGAAAAUAAGUUAAGUUGUGAGAGAUAAGAGUGAAAAGAAGGUGAUGUUUUAUAGAGAAAGGGGAAGCAAUUAAUAAAGAAGGGAGAUGACAGACUGUUGUUGUUAAUUAUGAAAAUUUUCAUGUCAUUUCACUCCCUUUACAAGGGUCUCUCUCUAGCUACCUUCACUCAUCAUCAGCCAUGCAAAAAAGAAACACGGCCAUUAAAUGCCAGCG